rnacentral:rRNA from 1 species
UACGAAGGGGGCUAGCGUUGCUCGGAAUCACUGGGCGUAAAGGGCGCGUAGGCGGCGUUUUAAGUCGGGGGUGAAAGCCUGUGGCUCAACCACAGAAUGGCCUUCGAUACUGGGACGCUUGAGUAUGGUAGAGGUUGGUGGAACUGCGAGUGUAGAGGUGAAAUUCGUAGAUAUUCGCAAGAAUACCGGUGGCGAAGGCGGCCAACUGGACCAUUACUGACGCUGAGGCGCGAAAGCGUGGGGAGCAAACAGG